ensembl:miRNA Mir1963 microRNA 1963
CUGGGACGAGAUCAUGAGGCCUUCCUGGCCACUGGGAAGGACUCGGCCUUUGUCCCGCA